ACUGACCUUGCAAUCACCACCCGAUCUUUCCCCGUGUAUUGGCCUUACUCGCACGGUAUCGUGAAUUACUUCCCGAUAAGUCACACAUUUUUUCACUACUCCAGCUCAAGCAUGAUUAACUUUAAAAUUCUAAACAGACAUGUAACGGAAAAAAUAAGUCAACUUUGGUGACAUAGGUAGUCAAAUCAAUCUUUUAAAGCUUUUUCAUAUAUCACAACUUGAUAUGUUACAAAAUCACGCAUGCAUAAAAUAUCUAUCUAUACUAAUAAAGUAGGGGGUAUUCUCCCUUCUCAUGCUGCCACAUCGCAAUGUGUUUAGGGUAUUUUGUGACACCUGUCCCACUUUUAUUUUUGAUGUCUCGACCUAUGAUUUUGUAUUAAAUCGCAGUAGGCCUGCAUAUUAUUUUAGUUAGCCUCAUUACAAAGACUUCGUAACUGUUUAUACAUUCAAAUUUUAGUGUCGAGGCCCAAUAAGUUAUCUCUACUCACAUUCUUUUUAUCGUUUCUUGUCGUCUCGAAUACGCUUGAGGCCACCCAUAUGCGAAACCGCCAACGUUACGGUUCUAAGUUAUAUUAACGGAUGAUGAACGGAUUUCGGAUUGUUGUUGUGGGUUUGGUGUUGAUGUCAUCAUGACUUCAUAGUCUUGCAGAAAUGGUACUGAGCGGUGAAACGAAGCACUAGAAAAGCUGGAGAAGAAGUAUGAUCUGGUCGUUAACAUUCAAGGAGAUGAACCACUCAUUGAGCCUGAGAUUAUUGACGGUGUUGUCAAAGCACUUCAGGUAGCACCUGAUGCAGUGUUUAGCACAGCGGCAACAUCAUUAUAAAACCAGAAGACCGAGAUGAUCCUAACCGAGUCUAAUGUGUGGUGAAAAAUUGUGCCUACACUAUCUAUUUCUCCAGGGGUUUGAUUCCUUAUAACAAGGUUUUGGGUUCAACGUGCUCACCGUCAGACCCGCAACGGCUUGAGAAAUAUGUUUAAGAUCGAGAUAGGAAAGUAGAUUUCCUCUCAGUCUCAGCUACAACAUCUAACUGGAUGGAGUUUUUUGUUUCACAUUUUCUCUAUCUCAUGCCAUUCGCGAAGGGAGUAGAUGGCAUGUAUAAUCUUUCCCGGAAAAUGUGUUCCGUCAGGCCACGCUUCCCAUGAGGUCAAAAUGGAUUUUAAUCCCAACCAGAGGUGUAACUAUUUCAUCUUUCUUUCACCCUAACUCGGCUUGGUUACUUAGGCUUAGAGGGUGGUCCUUAUUUCUCGCGUAAAAACGAUCCUGGACCAUUCAGCCUUUCUCAACCAAGUAUCCCCUUCCCUUAUUAAAGAAAGUCGAUAAUGAAAUGAGGCAGGUUGUUCUAGCAGUGUGUUCCAAAGAUUUUGGCUCUUUGUAGGCAAGACGGUCUUUGUUUUUUGUUACUAAAUCCAUGUAGAAUGCUAAAUUGUUUAAUGGAUCAGGAUGGUACUCUUUUGUGUUUAUUGAUAGGAUGGUAGCACAUGCGAUGGAGUUAUGGACAGCUGUAAGCGAUGAAGGAGAAGUUCUUGCACAUGAGGAGCAGCAAAUUUUGGGUGGAAUCAACAUGGAAGAUCUCCAUAGACUUGACUAUGCUCAAGUCUUUCUUUUAAUGCUCUGACUCUGAAGAUCUCAUGAAUGCAUAACUGGAAACAUGGGGAAAAGGGUCGGGGAGUUUUUGGCUUCAGUAAGUCUAGGAUCAGCGCUGCUCAAAGUGAUUGCUCAACAGCUGCUUGAUUCUGUUGGAAAGCGAUUGUCUAAUAAAAUUCUCAUGGUCUAUAUAUAUUCUCCAAGCCAUAUUUUUGAAACAUAUUUCAUUAUGUACAUCCCUUUUCAUACUUUGACAUUGUCUAAUGGAAAGGCCUGGUGGAGCUGUUGGGUUCGGAAUCACAGAUAUCUGGUGGUCUUGAUUUUCUUCAUAAAUAUUAAUCAUUUAUAUCUUCUGUUUUCUUUGCUAAUGAUUUUGGUUCUAUAAAUACAUGUCCUGAAAUCAGAGCCCAAAACUAUUGCCCAAAACAAAUGUUAAUAGCGCAUAAUAUGCAAAUGUUAAUUUGUCAACUCUAUUACAUAAGUGAUGUUGGUAACACUGUAAUGAAAUCAACACAAUAAUAAGGCUAGGUUCUCUCCAGCAGUUGACACCUAAGCUUUUAAAAUCACUAAGAAACUGCCAUGUCAAUAAAUGAAAAAAGUUAGAGAAACCAAUGAAAACAUUUUAUUUGUACAUAUCACAUUUAAUAUCGACAGAUAAGCAUGUAAGCUCGAGAAUCUUCUUCAUCCUCUCCAAAUCCAGCGACCAUCGUUCUCAUAAAGUUUUGAUCUUUAUCUGAAGUAAGAUUUAAUCGAAAGGACAAAGCAUAGGGAUCCUACGACGAAGGAUUAAUCAGAAAGGGGAAGAAAUAAGACGAUUAGAACCAAGAACAUAGUCGGAAAUGCAUUGAUUUGAUGGGGUGAAGAAAGGGAUACAUGUAAUAUUAUUAUUAACUAUCUCUCUCACACUCUUGAUGAUGCAACGGAUCUGAAAUUAGAAAUCUUUGAAUCUUCCAUCUUGCAUCAGAAUGCAUAAACGCCAAGAUCUAAGAUUUGUUGAUUUUGAAAGAAUUUGGGAAGAUAAUGAAGCAGAUGAUACAAAGGAGAGAGAGAUGAUGACGCCUGUGUAAGAGAUGAUUCCGGAGGAGAUGAGUCCUAAUAUAAUAAUCACCCAGUCUCCUCAAGAGCUUCACUAUUCAUUUCAACAUUUGCUUGUUCUGUGAUUGAGCCUCUCGGCAGAAAAUCGUAGGUGAAAAAAAAUGGAAAAGGAGCGAAGAUGAUCAAGUGUCCAAAAAGACGAGUCAUGUCUUUUAAGGUUAUCAAGAGUGUUAGCUGAGGUUGAACAUAAAUUUGGAUGUUCUGCUCCCUUUUUUCUUGGGAUAUCUCAGAACAGCCUUGCAUCUUUCUAUUUUAUUCUUUGUGUGAAUGUUUGCAGAGAGGAAGAGAAGAUAGCAGCUUGGAAACAUAUGCACAAGGUUUGGGACAGUUGUGAGGAUGAAAGUAGAACCUGCCAUUAGAAAACUCGGGGUCCUCCGAUCCUUCACUUAUAUGAAAACUCACAAAAACCAAUCAAACCAUGAUGCUUCUAUUGAAAUUUCUUUUUGCUUGAAUCGCAUGUGAAGCUGGAGAAAAAGAAAUGAGCAUCACUGGAAAAGAUCUUGUACAAGCUUCAAACAACCAAGUUGAAAGCAUAAGAGAUCAGGAGUUCAGUAUUCAGUGAUCAUGAACAAGAAAAAAAAGUUUUGACUAUAGAUCCCUGCAAUAAAACAGUAGCGCAACCGCUGUUGAAAAAACUUUCGACGAAUCAGCUGUUCUUGCCGCAAAGUAUCAAUACCACCAAAGGUCUUCAGGGUAAGUCUGUGCGAGAGUUUGUGAGCUUCAGAGGUGAAAGCAUCAAUGGAGAGAAAGCUUUUUAUAUUUAUCGUGUAUCCUUUAUCACAAUGCUUAUACAUUAUGUUUUCUUCCAUCUCAAUAGCGACAACCCAAAAAGUUGAGAUA